rnacentral:rRNA from 1 species
AUUGAACGCUGGCGGCAGGCCUAACACAUGCAAGUCGAGCGAGCGGCGGACGGGUGAGUAAUGUCUGGGAAACUGCCUGAUGGAGGGGGAUAACUACUGGAAACGGUAGCUAAUACAGCAUACCAUCAGAUGUGCCCAGAUGGGAUUAGCUAGUAGGUGGGGUAACGGCUCACCUAGGCGACGAUCCCUAGCUGGUCUGAGAGGAUGACCAGCCACACUGAGACUGAGACACGGUCCAGACUCCUACGGGUGGCCGCAGUGGGGAAUAUUGGUCAAUGGGCGCAAGCUUGAUGCGGCCAUGCCGCGUGUGUGAAGAAGGCCUUCGGGUUAUAGAGCACGUUCAGCGGGGAGGCGUUACCCGCAGAAGAAGCACCGGCUAACUCCGUGCCAGCAGCCGCGGUAAUAC